GCAUAUCAAUAAGCGGAGGAAAAGAAACUAACUAGGAUUCCCUUAGUAACGGCGAGUGAACCGGGAUGAGCUCAAAUUUAAAAUCUGGCGUCUUUCAGGCGUCCGAGUUGUAAUCUAUAGAGGCGUUUUCCGCGCCGGACCGCGUCCAAGUCUCUUGGAAUAGAGUAUCAAAGAGGGUGACAAUCCCGUACUUGACGCGACAACCGGUGCUCUGUGAUACGUGCUCAAUGAGUCGAGUUGUUUGGGAAUGCAGCUCUAAAUGGGUGGUAAAUUCCAUCUAAGGCUAAAUAUUGGCGAGAGACCGAUAGCGAACAAGUACCGUGAGGGAAAGAUGAAAAGCACUUUGGAAAGAGAGUUAAACAGCACGUGAAAUUGUUAAAAGGGAAACGAUUGAAGUCAGUCGUGUGAAAGGUAUUCAGCCGUCUCUGGCGGUGUAUUUGCCUUUCACGGGUCAACAUCAGUUUGAUCCGGUAGAAAAAGGCAGGAGGAAGGUGGCACCCUCGGGUGUGUUAUAGCCUCUUGUCAUAUGUGCCGGACCAGACUGAGGAACGCAGCUUGCCGCAAGGCCGGGGUUCGCCCACGUACAAGCUUAGGAUGUUGACAUAAUGGCUUUAAACGACCCGUCUUGAAACACGGACC
rnacentral:rRNA from 1 species